GGCGAAUGAACCUAGAUAUGCUCAAUUUGAAAAAUACAGUGAUACUGUUUGACAUGUAAUUUCAAAAUGUACAACCAAUUGGCAUGCAAGUGGAAGCUCAUUGAAAGAAUGCGUCGAAGAAGGUGAAAAUCCAUUUUGCCACUUGUAAUGUUGUUGUUUAUGGUGUAUAUUUCAGGAGUCACAUUCCUUGGCAUUGGAAUGCAAUGUGGGUGGUAAACUUCAUGCAAAGAUUAAUAUGUGUUUGAGAUUGAUAGUACACAAAUACCGUGAGGGAAAUAUGAAAAGGACUUUGAAAAGAGAUUUAAAAGAGUUUGCAGUUGCUGAACAAAAAACAAAUAGGAUGUCCACGAUUGAGCAGAUUGUUGAACCUCGGUUUGCUUCGAUUGCUAGCAUGUGUGUAUUCAAUGAUUCUAUCUUUGUCUACCAUACCAUUCUCAGCGUAUCAUGACACUUGCAGGUGCUUCGUGUUUUUGCUUGCGAGCUAAUGACAACACCUGCUUGAGAAUGGUAUGCCAAGUGUUCAUUGUGCUUAGAGUCUGCAUGGUGCUAUUGUUAAGCUGCAGGUUUGAACUUGUGCUUUGAGCUGUGCUCUACCUUUUGCAUAUGUCUAUUGGUGAUCAUAUCCUGCUUGACCCGU
rnacentral:rRNA from 1 species